UACGGAAGGGGGCUAGCGUUGCUCGGAAUUACUGGGCGUAAAGGGCGCGUAGGCGGCACUGUUAGUCAGGCGUGAAAGUCCUGGGCUCAACCUGGGAACUGCGCUUGAUACGGCAGAGCUAGAGGAUGGAAGAGGGUCGCGGAAUUCCCAGUGUAGAGGUAGAAAUUCGUAGAUAGUUGGGAAGAACACCGGUGGCGAAGGCGGCGACCUGGUCCAUUACUGACGCUGAGGCGCGACAGCGUGGGGAGCAAACAGG
rnacentral:rRNA from 1 species